AACGCAUAUGGCGGCCUUGGGUCCAUCCCGAGGCCACGCCCGUCUGAGGGUCGGCU
rnacentral:rRNA from 1 species